CGGCAGCACAGCAGUAGCAAUACUGUGGGUGGCGAGUGGCGGACGGGUGAGGAAUACAUCGGAAUCUGCCCAGUCGUGGGGGAUAACAUAGGGAAACUUAUGCUAAUACCGCAUACGACCUACGGGUGAAAGCGGGGGAUCGCAAGACCUCGCGCGAUUGGAUGAGCCGAUGUCCGAUUAGCUAGUUGGCGGGGUAAUGGCCCACCAAGGCGACGAUCGGUAGCUGGUCUGAGAGGAUGAUCAGCCACACUGGAACUGAGACACGGUCCAGACUCCUACGGGAGGCAGCAGUGGGGAAUAUUGGACAAUGGGCGCAAGCCUGAUCCAGCCAUGCCGCGUGGGUGAAGAAGGCCUUCGGGUUGUAAAGCCCUUUUGUCCGGAAAGAAAAGCACUGGAUUAAUACUUCGGUGUUCUGACGGUACCGGAAGAAUAAGCACCGGCUAACUUCGUGCCAGCAGCCGCGGUAAUACGAAGGGUGCAAGCGUUACUCGGAAUUACUGGGCGUAAAGCGUGCGUAGGUGGUUCGUUAAGUCUGAUGUGAAAGCCCUGGGCUCAACCUGGGAAUUGCAUUGGAUACUGGCGGGCUAGAGUGCGGUAGAGGAUGGCGGAAUUCCCGGUGUAGCAGUGAAAUGCGUAGAGAUCGGGAGGAACAUCUGUGGCGAAGGCGGCCAUCUGGACCAGCACUGACACUGAGGCACGAAAGCGUGGGGAGCAA
rnacentral:rRNA from 1 species